GGGUGUGAGGGUGAUCUGCCUGUGAUAUCUGUCGCCCCAUUCUUCGCCAGGGUUGCUUCUGCUGAUCUGGCUAGCUAGGAAGGUGUCCCUUACUCCCUCACUGCUUCAUGUGUAUUGCUCCUAAAGAUGAGAGCUCUUGGAGACUAGGUGAUAUAACACUUGGUUGAGCACAUUACAAUACUCAAGGA
rnacentral:snRNA from 1 species